rnacentral:rRNA from 1 species
CCUACGGGGGGCAGCAGUGAGGAAUAUUGGUCAAUGGACGAGAGUCUGAACCAGCCAAGUAGCGUGAAGGAUGACUGCCCUAUGGGUUGUAAACUUCUUUUAUAUGGGAAUAAAAUGUUCCACGUGUGGGAUUUUGUAUGUACCAUAUGAAUAAGCAUCGGCUAACUCCGUGCCAGCAGCCGCGGUAAUACGGAGGAUCCGAGCGUUAUCCGGAUUUAUUGGGUUGAAAGGGAGCGGAGGUGGAUUGUUAAGUCAGUUGUGAAAGUUUGCGGGUCAACCGUAAAAUUGCAGUUGAAACUGGCAGUCUUGAGUACAGUAGAGGUGGGCGGAAUUCGUGGUGUAGCGGUGAAAUGCUUAGAUAUCACGAAGAACUCCGAUUGCGAAGGCAGUUCACUGGACUGCAACUGACACUGAGGCUCGAAAGUUUGGGUAUCAAACAGGAUUAGAUACCCCAGUAGUC